AUCUCGCUUAUAAAAAUGGUGAAUUAUUUACAGCAAAAACAGGGAAGUAAGAACAUGUUCUAAAAUCACUGAGGCAAAGCAGCUAUCCUCAGGUUUCUGCAGGGGUCUUCUGGGUGUCUUGUGAGCUCGUGGACCGGAAGGCAGGAGGAUGGCUGUGGGACUGCGGGGCCUCUGCCAUCCGUAAGUGCAGCUUCAACAUUAGGCACACCUCGAAGCUAAGAAACCAGCCAGAAAAGACACCGUGGUUAUUCAGCAUCCGGAUGCCUGCGACCAGAGUCUGAGUCAGCCUCCAGCACAGAUGGGGAGGAGGAGAAAUUCGAGUGUCUGACCUCCAUUCUGCACGUUGUCUGUUGCAGGAACCAAAAAUCUGGAGCUCUUAAGUCAUUCUUUAGGGGAAAGCAGAUCUAAUUAGCCUAGGGAGUUUCCUUAGUGUGAAUUCAUGGAAUGUGUUACCUGGUCAAGGAAUAUUUAUGUCUAGAAAGAACAACAGAGCAAGUCUCCUACAGGAGUAUCACACUAGUGGUGGAGCCUGAGGAAAGCAGGUGUUUAGCAACCAGUCCAGUGGUCCUCCUCAAAAUCUCUUAGGACCCCUCUGGGGUGUGCUCAGGGAAGGACAGGAAUUUGGAGCUGCUAACUCUGCCAUUUUGCUGAUAUCACCAAUGCUAGUGGGAUGCCUCAUUUCUUUGUGUAUGUCUCAGUUUCCCUCUCUGUACAAGGAAAUGAUACAGAUACAGCGGCCCUCCCCUGGAAUGCCUGCACUCCAAAUCCUACCCGUUCUGCAAAGCCCAAUGUGGAUCUCAGCUCCUCGCUCCUCCAGGAAGGCUCCUCUGAUUGUGCCAGCCCACAUUUACCAUUGCCACACUGGAAUUCAGACAAACCCAUGGAGCACUGAAGCACAUGAUGGAAGCUACUCAGCGGAAUGAAUUUCAACGAUGGCCACUCACUGCAGCCGGAAUGUAACACUAAGAACAGAGGUCUGUCAUCUGUGUGGACCAGAUCAUCAUGAGACAAGUGCAAGUGACAGAAGCUGAGUCGAUUAGUGUCCUCAGUUGAUCUAUCAUAGAGCCAUCCCUGCUGAGGGCUCUACACUGUGCACUCUGGAUGGGAUUAAAAUCAUACUGUGGGACUGCAAAGUCUUAUUUUAAGAGGUGGCUGCAGGCACCACUGCUUCCUCGUGGGCAUUUAUGUUGGUUCUCCAAGCUUUUGUGUGGGACUUGGGGUUUUGAAACGAAAUAUAGUUUACGUUUGUUAUGUAUCUUUUUUUUAUUAGUUUCAGAGGUAGAAUUUAGUGGUUCAUCAGUUGCAUAUAACACCCAGUGCUCAUCAUAUCAAGUGCCCUCCUUACUGACCAUCACCUAGUUAUCCCAUCUCCCCAUUCUCCUCCCCUCCAGCAACCCUCAGUUCAUUAUCUACAAAAGUUAGUCAACUCAUCAUUAGUUAUAUCAGGUACCUAAAAGAAAAAAUGCUGACAAUAUCUAAGUGCAUAUCUAGCAGCUAGUUAAAAGUUAUUUUCUCACAUCAAGAAAGCGUUAAAAGUUCAACUAAAAAGAAUUCUUUUUGUUUUCAACUAAAAAUAAUUCUACGGAAUUUUUAUAAUUGUUUUACUUUUGCUAGAAAAAUAACAAAUUUGAUUUUUUAAAAAUUAUGAUUAAUCUAUUAUGCAUAUAAAUUGUCAAUUUGCACAUAUAAUUGAUAUUAUUUUAUAAGUAAAUUACAUUAGAAGUUACUAAGCAACCAAAAUUAUAAAGUUAAAUACUAAUAAGUUAAAAAAUUAAUUUUAUUUAAUUUUAAUUUUUAUUAUUACUUUCUUUGAGAGGGAGGGGGCGCU